GUUGGUGAACCAGCGGAGGGAUCAUUACCGAGUUAUACAACUCAUCAACCCUGUGAACAUACCUAAAACGUUGCUUCGGCGGGAACAGACGGCCCUGUAACAACGGGCCGCCCCCGCCAGAGGACCCCUAACUCUGUUUUUAUAAUGUUUUUCUGAGUAAACAAGCAAAUAAAUUAAAACUUUCAACAACGGAUCUCUUGGCUCUGGCAUCGAUGAAGAACGCAGCGAAAUGCGAUAAGUAAUGUGAAUUGCAGAAUUCAGUGAAUCAUCGAAUCUUUGAACGCACAUUGCGCCCGCCAGUAUUCUGGCGGGCAUGCCUGUUCGAGCGUCAUUACAACCCUCAGGCCCCCGGGCCUGGCGUUGGGGAUCGGCGGAAGCCCCCUGUGGGCACACGCCGUCCCUCAAAUACAGUGGCGGUCCCGCCGCAGCUUCCAUUGCGUAGUAGCUAACACCUCGCAACUGGAGAGCGGCGCGGCCAUGCCGUAAAACACCCAACUUCUGAAUGUUGACCUCGAAUCAGGUAGGAAUACCCGCUGAACUUAAGCAUAUCA
rnacentral:rRNA from 1 species